rnacentral:rRNA from 1 species
UACGUAGGGUGCAAGCGUUGUCCGGAAUUAUUGGGCGUAAAGAGCUCGUAGGCGGUGUGUCACGUCUGCCGUGAAAACCUACAGCUUAACUGUGGGCGUGCGGUGGAUACGGGCAUCACUUGAGUUCGGCAGGGGAGACUGGAAUUCCUGGUGUAGCGGUGGAAUGCGCAGAUAUCAGGAGGAACACCGGUGGCGAAGGCGGGUCUCUGGGCCGAUACUGACGCUGAGGAGCGAAAGCGUGGGGAGCGAA